rnacentral:rRNA from 1 species
AUUGAACGCUGGCGGCAUGCUUUACACAUGCAAGUCGAGCGGCAGCGCGGGGGGCAACCCUGGCGGCGAGCGGCGAACGGGUGAGUAAUGCAUCGGAACGUACCCUGGAGUGGGGGAUAACGCCGCGAAAGCGGCGCUAAUACCGCAUAUGCUCUGAGGAGGAAAGUGGGGGACCGCAAGGCCUCACGCUCUGGGAGCGGCCGAUGUCCGAUUAGCUAGUUGGUGAGGUAAAGGCUUACCAAGGCGACGAUCGGUAGCUGGUCUGAGAGGAUGAUCAGCCACACUGGGACUGAGACACGGCCCAGACUCCUACGGGAGGCAGCAGUGGGGAAUUUUGGACAAUGGGGGCAACCCUGAUCCAGCCAUGCCGCGUGAGUGAAGAAGGCC